CAAUAGCGUAUAUUAAUGUUGUUGCAGUUAAAAAAGCUCGUAGUUGGAUUUCUGACAGGAGCGACCGGUCCGAACAUUCGUGUUCGUGUUACUUGUGUUGUCUCUAGUCAUCCUUAUAGAGAACAAAUGUGGCUUUAAUUAGUCGUGUUUGGGACCUAUAUCGUUUACUGUGAAAAAUUAGAGUGUUCAAAGCAGGCAAUCGCUGUGAAUAUAUUAGCAUGGAAUAAUAAGAUAGGACUUUGGUACUAUUUUGUUGGUUUGCAUACCAAAGUAAUGAUUAAGAGGGGCAGUUGGGGGUAUUCGUAUUUAGAUGUCAGAGGUGAAAUUCUUGGAUUUUCGAAAGACGAACUACUGCGAAAGCAUUUACCAAGGAUGUUUUCAUUAAUCAAGAACGACAGUUAGGGGAUCGAAGAUGAUUAGAUACCGU
rnacentral:rRNA from 1 species